rnacentral:rRNA from 1 species
GACAGAGGGUGCAAACGUUGUUCGGAAUUACUGGGCGUAAAGCGCGUGUAGGCGGUCUCGCAAGUCGGAUGUGAAAGCCCAGGGCUCAACCCUGGAAGUGCACUCGAUACUGCGAGGCUAGAGUCCCGGAGAGGAUGGUGGAACUCUCGGUGUAGAGGUGAAAUUCGUAGAUAUCGAAAAGAACACCGGUGGCGAAGGCGGCCAUCUGGACGGUGACUGACGCUGAGACGCGAAAGCGUGGGGAGCAAACAGG